rnacentral:rRNA from 1 species
GAUGAACGCUGGCGGCGUGCCUAAUACAUGCAAGUCGAGCGAACAGACGAGGAGCUUGCUCCUCUGACGUUAGCGGCGGACGGGUGAGUAACACGUGGAUAACCUACCUAUAAGACUUGGAUAACUUCGGGAAACCGGAGCUAAUACCGGAUAAUAUAUUGAACCGCAUGGUUCAAUAGUGAAAGACGGUUUUGCUGUCACUUAUAGAUGGAUCCGCGCCGCAUUAGCUAGUUGGUAAGGUAACGGCUUACCAAGGCAACGAUGCGUAGCCGACCUGAGAGGGUGAUCGGCCACACUGGAACUGAGACACGGUCCAGACUCCUACGGGAGGCAGCAGUGGGGAAUCUUCCGCAAUGGGCGAAAGCCUGACGGAGCAACGCCGCGUGAGUGAUGAAGGUCUUCGGAUCGUAAAACUCUGUUAUUAGGGAAGAAAAAAUGUGUAAGUAACUAUGCACGUCUUGACGGUACCUAAUCAGAAAGCCACGGCUAACUACGUG